AUGUUUGGAACACAAUUUUCGACUUUGCUGCUUUGUUGAGACUAGUUUGGAGAUAAUUAUUAAUUCUGUUUCCACAGAAUUAUUGAUUCCAUUAUGUAGUGUGAGCUUGAAUUCCACAAACCCACAACGGGAGGAGUGCUUAAAACAUUCAUAGUUGAAUACACUGAUCCAAAGUUCACAGUGUAUGAAAUCAAUUUUAUCCGAAAGUGGAUACUCUGUUUAAUAGCGCCUUCCACUUAGCAGAGCUGCAACACGCUCAUCACAGAAGAUGUGCGCUCGCCAAACAAGGACUAUUCACUACACGGGCCCACAGAAAAAAGGAGGAACAGAAAAAAGGUGAAACUUUGUUCUUUCCUCGGUGACAGGACGCAGUCGAAACUGGACAGUCAUCAAGUACAUAGAAAGAAAACCAGUACAUGGCAGUAAUAUCAUAUCAGCAAUCAUAUGAAAUCCUUAUUCAUUUAUUUGGUCUUCAGUACAGAAUUCCUCAGAUUAUUAAUGCCUGAAUUGUAUCAGAUUUUGAAAGAAACUCGAACUUUUGUAUACGCAUAUUCGCCUAUGCGUUCUUUGUGAUAGAACGUACUGUAUAACGAUUCGUAAUGUUUCAUUAAUAUAUUUCUGUUGAUGAAGGAUAAUAAUUUUAAUUUCUGAUCAUGAUAUUACUUGCUAUUAUUCGCGACAAAUCAAAUAAUUAUAUAAAUGAUAUUGAUUUUUUUUUCAUGAACGAUUUUAUGUUUAUAUCCUUUGUCUCCAAUUUGCACGUACUACAAUAAGUUGAUACAAGCAAUACCGAUGGUCACAAAACUAGAACGAUAAUUUAUUUCAUGUUUCUGUCCCAUCCACCAUGAGAGCAUUUUUGGUCGUAAAUAUGGUGAAAUCUACUUCACGAAGAUAAAACCAUCGGACAUCAAACUUAACAUUUAAUUACCCCAUUUGUUAUCAAUGUUAUU